rnacentral:rRNA from 1 species
AUAUAGUCUAGCCUGCCCCCUGAUAUAUACAUUAAAGGGCCGCGGUACUUUGACCGUGCUAAGGUAGCAUAAUCAAUAGUCUUUUAAUUGAAGACUGGAAUGAAUGGUUGGAUAAAAAAUUAACUGUCUAGUUAUUAAAUUUUGAAUUUUACUUUUAAGUGAAAAGGCUUAAAUAAAUUAAGGUGACGAUAAGACCCUAUAAAACUUUAUAUAAUAAUUACAUAUUUUAAAAUUUUAAUAAUAUAUAUCUAAUUUAUUAUUAUUUGAUUGGGGCGAUUGAAAUAAAUUUAAACUGUUUUUUAUAUUAAAUAAUUGUUAUUAAUUCAUGAUCCUUUAAUAAAGAUUAAAAGAUUAAGUUACUUUAGGGAUAACAGCGUAAUUUUUCUUGAGAGUUCUUAUCGACAGAAUUAGUUGCGACCUCGAUGUUGAAUUAAAUUAACUAUUAAAUGCAGUCGUUUAAGUAAGUAGGUCUGUUCGACCUU